rnacentral:rRNA from 1 species
CAGCCGCCGCGGUAAUACGAAGGGGGCUAGCGUUGCUCGGAAUGACUGGGCGUAGGGCGCGUAGGCGGAUUGUUUAGUCAGGCGUGAAAUUCCUGGGCUCAACCUGGGGGCUGCGCUUGAUACUUGGUUGCUUGAGUGGGGAAGAGGGUCGUGGAAUUCCCAGUGUAGAGGUGAAAUUCGUAGAUAUUGGGAAGAACACCAGUGGCGAAGGCGGCUCACUGGACCGACACUGACGCUGAGGCGCGAAAGCGUGGGGAGCAAACAGGAUUAGAUACCCCCGUAGUCCCUGUCUCUUAUACAC